UGGGGGAUAUUGCACAAUGGGCGAAAGCCUGAUGCAGCGACGCCGCGUGGGGGAUGAAGGCUUUCGGGUUGUAAACCUCUUUCGCUAUCGAACAAGGCCCGCUUAGGGUGGGUUGAGGGUAGGUGGAGAAGAAGCGCCGGCUAACUACGUGCCAGCAGCCGCGGUAAUACGUAGGGCGCGAGCGUUGUCCGGAAUUAUUGGGCGUAAAGGGCUUGUAGGCGGCUUGUUGCGCCUGCUGUGAAAACGCGGGGCUUAACUUCGCGCGUGCAGUGGGUACGGGCAGGCUUGAGUGUGGUAGGGGUGACUGGAAUUCCAGGUGUAGCGAUGGAAUGCGCAGAUAUCUGGAGGAACACCGAUGGCGAAGGCAGGUCACUGGGCCAUUACUGACGCUGGGGAGCGAAAGCAUGGGUAGCGAACAGG
rnacentral:rRNA from 1 species